rnacentral:tRNA from 1 species
CCCUCGAUAGCUCAGUUGGCAGAGCGUCCGGCUGUAAUGGAUCAAUUACCGGAAGGUCACCGGCUCGACUCCGGUUCGAGGGA